CUCACAGACAGCGUGCUGGGGCAGGGACCUGGGCGAGAAGCAGCGCAUUCUGUCUGAUUCCAUUUGUACGGACUUCAGAACAAGCAGACCGGACCAGUGGCUUUAGCAGUCAGGACAGUGGUUACCUGGGGGGCAGUUGGUGACUGGAGCGGUGCGAGGAGGCUUCUGGGGGCUGGUCGUGCUGUACUGAUCUGGGUUUUGUGCGCACCUGUCCAGCUGUGCACUGCGGGGGGCACACUGUUCCGCACGGCCACGAGUUUCCUGGCCUCGAUGUCUUGUGAUGAAUGACCCUGGGGGUCCCAGCUCCUCACCCCCUGUUCUGGACGACAGCACCUUCCCCACCGCCGUGGACUAAAGCGAGUCCCCCUCAAGUCACGUGCUGAAGUCCUGACUCACGCCCAGGGUGACCGUAUUUGGAGAAGGGCCUUUGGGGAGGUCGUUAAGGUGAAAUGAGGUCAUAAGGGUGGGGCGCUGGUCUGCUAGGACUGGCCUCCCUGUUGGAGAAGGAGGAGGAAGCAGGGCUCUCUCUCUGUGCCUGCAGAGAAGCGGCCCCGCGAGGACGCGGAGAGGAGGCGGCACCUGCAAGCCGGGAGCCCUCUCGCCGCCGCCCAGGCUGCCAGAGUUGGUUGUGGUCGCCGGGCGGACUAGGACACCACAACCCAGGGGCAGCCCUGGGGGUGUAGUUUUCCUGUCCCAGGAGGGCAGGGGCAACUCCCUCUGCUCCCACUUUGGCCCGGUGUGGGCACCCCUCCUCCACGAGGGUGGAGGGUGUGGGUACAAGUCGGGCCUCGGAGACCCAAGCUGCUGGGCUCGAAUUUCGGCUGCUCUUCUGGCUGACCUCGCUACCCAGCCUCCCUGAGCCUCUGUUCCCUGCUGUCAAGUGGGUCGAUGGCACCUAUGGCACCAGCUGCUGAGGGAUCAAGGAGAGGAUUUGCCCCUGGGAGCCCUGAGUGCGGGGGCCAUCUCCACUGGAUGACGGGCCCGUCCAGGACCCGGGUCCAAGCCCUCCCCAGAGGCCAGGGGUAGAGGGCGGCCGAGGGUCUGGGGGAUUGUCCCUUAUCACAAGGUCCAGGUCAUCAUCACCUUCCGC
rnacentral:lncRNA from 1 species